UCCUCCCUUUCUUGCACACACACACACAAAUUGUAUUUGGGAGCAGCGAGAAGAUUUAUAUUCUCUUUUUUCAGUAGCAACUUUCUCGGUUAUUGACAAUGUUUCGCAAGAGUCUUUUCAGAACAUUGGACGGCGGGAGAGCGUGGAUUCAACGUAGUGAAUCCUAUUAUGAACUGAACAUGGAGUUACAUAAAUGGAAGUUGAGCAAGAACCAUGGAUUUGAUCCAUCUGUCUUUGGCAAGCUUUUCUAAUGAAGAUUCUCGUGUUUGAUGGCAUCCUGUGGAUGCUAUCGAACUAUUACGAUGUGGAAUAGUCUGAAGGGCUUAAUGAGGAGGCAUGAGGCUUAAGAUGUUACUCCAUCAGUAUAAACCCCAACCAGACUUUCUACUCGAAUGUAUCUCGAAAUUUGCUUAAACUCCAUCCACUAGGAUUGUUUUGGUGGUUCAAGAUCGAUGUAUUGUUGGAAUUUUUUUGAAUUGAAAAUAUAUAUGUUUAUGUGAUGUUUUGAAUGUAAUUGUGAAUUUUGGAUGCGGCUGUAAUAUGAAUAAAUGUGAAAAUAAAUUCGAGUUACGGAGACGCAUUCUUAUUUUCUCACCAAC